UAGGGAAUCUUCGGCAAUGGACGAAAGUCUGACCGAGCAACGCCGCGUGAGUGAAGAAGGUUUUCGGAUCGUAAAACUCUGUUGUUAGAGAAGAACAAGGACGUUAGUAACUGAACGUCCCCUGACGGUAUCUAACCAGAAAGCCACGGCUAACUACGUGCCAGCAGCCGCGGUAAUACGUAGGUGGCAAGCGUUGUCCGGAUUUAUUGGGCGUAAAGCGAGCGCAGGCGGUUUCUUAAGUCUGAUGUGAAAGCCCCCGGCUCAACCGGGGAGGGUCAUUGGAAACUGGGAGACUUGAGUGCAGAAGAGGAGAGUGGACUUCCAUGUGUAGCGGUGAAAUGCGUAGAUAUAUGGAGGAACACCAGUGGCGAAGGCGGCUCUCUGGUCUGUAACUGACGCUGAGGCUCGAAAGCGUGGGGAGCAAACAGG
rnacentral:rRNA from 2 species